rnacentral:lncRNA from 1 species
CUUCAUUUCAGUGCCAAUAAAUCUUCUGUAACUAUAUUCAAGAGUUUUGCAAAGAUCUUGCUUGAAAAAAGAAUAAUAGUUAAAAUUAAUAUCUUUUUCUUGCAUCAUAUAUGGAGCAUUCAUAGAACCAACAUCCGAAAUUUGCUGUGGUCCAUGAGGCCUUCAAUGGAGGCCUCAACCCAUAGUUGUAGAAAAUGGAA